rnacentral:lncRNA from 1 species
CAGGAGGAACAGACUUACCAGUUGAGAUAUUCAGAGGCGCUGAAGAUUUGCUUCCAGAAGUUUCUCCGAGUCUGGCCUUCUUUGCCUGAGAUGCUACCUUCUUUUCAGAAAGACCUCUCUUGUAUCUGACGAAGUCUUCUUCAGAGUCCAGACAGUCAUCGAGGCUGAAAUCAGAGACGUCAACACCUUCUUCCAGCAGACGAUGAAGAUAG